UCGAACGAGAAAGCACUUCGGUGUGAGUACAGUGGCGCACGGGUGAGUAACGCGUAGGUGACGUGCCUUUUAGUGGGGGACAACAUCGGGAAACCGGUGCUAAUACCGCAUAAGCUUGACGAAAUUGAAAAAGUUAAGGAAAGGGGCUUCGGUCCCGCUGAAAGAUCGGCCUGCGUAUCAUUAGCUUGUUGGUGGGGUAAUGGCCUACCAAGGCUACGAUGAUUAGCUGGUCUGAGAGGAUGAUCAGUCACACUGGAACUGAGACACGGUCCAGACUCCUACGGGAGGCAGCAGUAGGGAAUAUUGCGCAAUGGGGGAAACCCUGACGCAGCAAUGCCACGUGAGUGAGGAAGGCCUUCGGGUUGUAAAGCUCUGUCCUAUAGGAAGAACGGCUUUGGGUAACGCCAAAGAUUGACGGUACUAUAGAAGAAAGCACCGGCUAACUCCGUGCCAGCAGCCGCGGUAAUACGGAGGGUGCAAGCGUUGUUCGGAUUUACUGGGCGUAAAGCGCGCGCAGGCGGACUAGCAAGUCAGAUGUGAAAUCUCGGGGCUUAACCCCGAAACUGCGUCUGAAACUGCUAGUCUAGAGUCUCACAGGGGGUAGGGGAAUUUCACGUGUAGGGGUAAAAUCCGUAGAGAUGUGAAGGAACACCGGAGGCGAAGGCGCCUACCUGGAUGAGCACUGACGCUGAGGCGCGAAAGCGUGGGGAGCAAACAGGAUUAGAUACCCUGGUAGUCCACGCCGUAAACGAUGAGUACUAGCUAUUAGAGGUAUUGACUCCUUUAGUGGCGCAGCUAACG
rnacentral:rRNA from 1 species